rnacentral:rRNA from 1 species
AACUUAAAGGAAUUGACGGGGGCCCGCACAAGCGGUGGAGCAUGUGGUUCAAUUCGACGCAACGCGAAGAACCUUACCUGGGCUAGACAACAGUGGACCGUCCUAGAGAUAGGAUUUUCCCUUCGGGGACCGCUGGUUCAGGUGCUGCAUGGCUGUCGUCAGCUCGUGCCGUGAGGUGUUGGGUUAAGUCCCGCAACGAGCGCAACCCUCGUACUUAGUUGCCACCAUUCAGUUGGGCACUCUAGGUAGACUGCCGGCGUUAAGCCGGAGGAAGGUGGGGACGACGUCAAGUCAUCAUGGCCCUUAUGCCCAGGGCCACACACGUGCUACAAUGGGCGGCACAAAGGGUCGCGAACCCGCGAGGGGGAGCCAAUCCCAAAAAGCCGUUCUCAGUUCGGAUUGGAGUCUGCAACUCGACUCCAUGAAGUUGGAAUCGCUAGUAAUCGCGUAUCAGAACGACGCGGUGAAUACGUUCCCGGGCCUU